rnacentral:rRNA from 1 species
UACGGGGGGAGCAAGCGUUGUUCGGAUUUACUGGGCGUAAAGGGCGCGUAGGCGGCCACUGCAAGUCAAUUGUGAAAUCUCCGGGCUUAACUCGGAAAGGUCAACUGAUACUGCAGGGCUAGAGUGCGGAAGGGGCAACUGGAAUUCUCGGUGUAGCGGUGAAAUGCGUAGAUAUCGAGAGGAACACCUGCGGCGAAGGCGGGUUGCUGGGCCGACACUGACGCUGAGGCGCGAAAGCUAGGGGAGCGAACGGG